AACAUUUCUUUUAGAUUAUAUGAAAAGUAAAGUCUGCCCACUGUAUAAAUAAAGGGCCGCGGUAUUUUGACCGUGCAAAGGUAGCAUAAUCAUUAGUCUUUUGAUUGGGGAAUGGAAUGAAUGGCUUAAUGAUUCUUUUCUUUUAUUCAUAUUAUAGUAAAACUUUGAUUUUAAGUGAAAAUACUUAAAUAUAUUAAUUAGACGAUAAGACCCUAUAGAAUUUUAUUUAUAUGGCUUAUUUAUAUAGUUUUAUAAAUUUAAAUGGGGCAUUUAUUGAAUAAUUUUAAUUUCUUUAAAUUUUUAAAAAAAAUCUUAAAUUAUAAAUGAUUAAAUAAUUACCUUAGGGAUAACAGCGUAAUAAUUUUUGAGAGUUCAUAUCGACAAAAUAGUUUGCGACCUCGAUGUUGAAUUAAAAUACCUUUAUAAAGCAGCUUUUAUGUAAGGUAGUCUGUUCGACUAUAAAAAUUUUACAUGAUUUGAGU
rnacentral:rRNA from 1 species